rnacentral:misc_RNA from 1 species
CGCAGCCGCGGUAAUUCCAGCUCCAAUAGCGUAUAUUAAAGUUGUUGCAGUUAAAAGCUCGUAGUUGAAUUUCGGGAUUCUACCGUCGGUCGGGCUACCAAGUCUGUACUGGUGUGUAGAAUUCCUACCUUCUGGGGAACCAUCAUGUUAUUAAUUUAGCGUGGUGGGAAACCAGGACCUUUACCUUGAAAAAUUAGAGUGUUCAAAACAGGCUUAUGUCUGACUACAUUAGCAUGGAAUAAUAGAAUAGGACGGUGGUCCUGUUUUGUUGGUUUCUGAAUCACCGUAAUGAUUAAUAGGGAUAGUUGGGGGCAUUAGUAUUCAAUUGUCAGAGGUGAAAUUCUUGGAUUUAUUGAAGACUAACUU